GAUGAACGCUGGCGGCGUGCCUAAUACACGCAAGUCGAGCGAACAGAUGAGAAGCUUGCUUCUCUGAUGUUAGCGGCGGACGGGUGAGUAACACGUGGGUAACCUACCUAUAAGACUGGGAUAACUCCGGGAAACCGGGGCUAAUACCGGAUAAUAUUUUGAACCGCAUGGUUCAAUAGUGAAAGACGGUUUCGGCUGUCACUUAUAGAUGGACCUGCGCCGUAUUAGCUAGUUGGUAAGGUAACGGCUUACCAAGGCGACAAUACGUAGCCGACCUGAGAGGGUGAUCGGCCACACUGGAACUGAGACACGGUCCAGACUCCUACGGGAGGCAGCAGUAGGGAAUCUUCCGCAAUGGGCGAAAGCCUGACGGAGCAACGCCGCGUGAGUGAUGAAGGUCUUCGGAUCGUAAAACUCCGUUGUUAGGGAAGAACAAAUUUGUUAGUAACUGAACAAGUCUUGACGGUACCUAACCAGAAAGCCACGGCUAACUACGUGCCAGCAGCCGCAGUAA
rnacentral:rRNA from 1 species